GGAAGUGCGGCAGAGAUGGUGGUUCUGCACAAGACUGUAAAUCUUGUCCCUCAGGGUAAACAUUGUAGGUUCGAAUCCUACCGCUUCCACCA
rnacentral:tRNA from 1 species